GCAGCAGUGGCCGAGUGGUUAAGGCGAUUGACUAGAAAUCAAUUGGGCUCUGCCCGCACAGGUUCGAAUCCUG
rnacentral:tRNA from 1 species